rnacentral:rRNA from 1 species
UUAUGGCUCAGGACGAACGCUGGCGGCACGCUUAACACAUGCAAGUCGAACGGAGUUAUCGAGAGCUUGCUUUGAUAACUUAGUGGCGGACGGGUGAGUAACACGUGAGCAAUCUGCCCUUAAGAGGGGGAUAGCAGUUGGAAACGACUGAUAAUACCGCAUAAGAUAGUAGUACCGCAUGGUACAGCUAUAAAAGAUUUAUCGCUUAAGGAUGAGCUCGCGUCUGAUUAGCUAGUUGGUGAGGUAACGGCUCACCAAGGCAACGAUCAGUAGCCGGACUGAGAGGUUGGACGGCCACAUUGGGACUGAGACACGGCCCAGACUCCUACGGGAGGCAGCAGUGGGGAAUAUUGCACAAUGGAGGAAACUCUGAUGCAGCGAUGCCGCGUGAGGGAAGAAGGUUUUAGGAUUGUAAACCUCUGUUGACAGGGACGAUAAUGACGGUACCUGUUGAGGAAGCUCCGGCUAACUACGUGCCAGCCGCAGC